AUUGAACGCUGGCGGCAGGCCUAACACAUGCAAGUCGAACGGCAGCACAGAAGAGCUUGCUCUUUGGGUGGCGAGUGGCGGACGGGUGAGUAAUGUCUGGGAAACUGCCCGAUGGAGGGGGAUAACUACUGGAAACGGUAGCUAAUACCGCAUAACGUCGCAAGACCAAAGUGGGGGACCUUCGGGCCUCACACCAUCGGAUGUGCCCAGAUGGGAUUAGCUAGUAGGUGGGGUAAUGGCUCACCUAGGCGACGAUCCCUAGCUGGUCUGAGAGGAUGACCAGCCACACUGGAGCUGAGACACGGUCCAGAAUCCUACGGGAGGCAGCAGUGGGGAAUAUUGCACAAUGGGCGCAAGCCUGAUGCAGCCAUGCCGCGUGUAUGAAGAAGGCCUUCGGGUUGUAAAGUACUUUCAGCGGGGAGGAAGGCGGUGAGGUUAAUAACCUCGCCGAUUGACGUUACCCGCAGAAGAAGCACCGGCUAACUCCGUGCCAGCAGCCGCGGUAA
rnacentral:rRNA from 1 species